AGGCAGCACCGCACCGACGGGGAGAGCAGGCCUCCGAGUUCCUGCUGAACCACUCAACAGCUUAAAAUACAACCAGCCCCUCUCACGGCCGGCCAGCUGCUGGGGGAGGGCUGAAAUCCUACCCUGUCCCCCGACCGGGCACCGGACCAGGACCCAGGAGGAGAGUAUCGGCCGUUGGGGGCCCCGACUGGCUGCUGGGAAGGAAGCUGGGCGGCAGGAGGGGCGGCCGGGACCGGGACCGGGGCCACGCUCCCAGCAGCCGCCGCUGCAGCUGUUGCCACCGCCCGCCGCCACCGCCGCACCCAGGCCCGCCGGAGGCCAGAGAGGAGCCGCAGCGCCCUGCAGAGGCCAGGGUCUGAAUGCCAAGGAUCCAGAGCCAGGAGAAGCUGGCGCAGCCCAGGAGCAUCUAGCCUUGGAGGACAUUCUUCGGGUGCUGAGUGCCCAGGCUGGCUGCUGUGACCAUAGAAGGCCCAAGAUGAAGGUGAUGCUGGGCCAAAACACAGUGAGGACUCUGGGUUUCAAGCUCUUUGACCAGCAGGUCCCUGGUGCCCAGUUACAGGCUGUGCCUUCAGGGCCUCCCGGGGGCGCUGUCCUGGCAGAGCAGCGCUGCGAGGCCCUGUUCUGUUGGAAGUGCCGCCACUAGUUUCAUCUAUCAGAUGCUUACCUUGCGCCAAGGACUGUGCUAAGACCUUUACCUGCAUAUCUCACCUAGCCUCCCUGGGCCUGUAAGCUAAAGACUGUGACCCCAGGUAGGCAGCUCAGAAACUAGGGCUCAGAAACAGGGGGGGGCCCUUGCUCACAGCACGUAGCCAGGAAGCGCCAGAGCCAGUGCCAACCCAGCCUCCUUGGGCCCAAAGAAUCCCAUCACUCACCACACAAAGCAAUACCUCCUCCACGCUGAAGAACAGGGCUAAACGCUAACAAAAAAAAAGGGGGGAACAAACCCUGGACCGAGUUAUCUGGAAGGCACCCUUCCCCGCUCCCUGCUGACAUUCCAGCUCCAGCACAUCCAGUCUUUGAAGGUCUGGUCUCUGCAGAACCUGUCAACUCCACAGGGAGGGCCACCGGGAGGCUGAGCCUGCCCCUCCCCUGGCCCCACCUCCUUUGGCCCCAGCAGAGUCAGGCCACACCAAGGGCAAAAGGCCUGUCACCCCCACGGAUACCACCCAGAGGGGCCCAGUCAGGGUCAGCAGCUGUCUCCACACUUCCCGCAAGGCUUCCUGCCACAGGCUAAAGCCACCAAUGAGCCCAGAGAGAUGAUGCCAUGGGGGGCAGGGGGGGCCUCCAACACUGAGCAACAGGCGUUGCUGCAGAGGCCAAAGUCAGACCAGCGUCCCUGUCUGAGCCCUGGCUUCUUUACCUGGUAAACAGAAUAUUCAUUAGAGGACCUGACAGAGAUGAUUCCGGUGGCAGAUGUGGGAGGGCCCUGCCCCACCCAGUGGCCCUGAACCCUGACUGCUCGUGAAACCCACACGAAGAGUCCUGGCCUGGACAACUUAGACAGAGACAUCGGGAUCUCUGAUGGAGGACCAGGCAUCUACAGCUUCAAAAGCUCCCAGGGAAAGAUGGAGGUAGCCAACUCCCCUGGGCUGACUUCCCCAAACAGGCUUCUGCCCUAUGGAUGAUGCCCCCCAAACCCUUACCACCCAGACCCUCCCACUUGGGCGUGAGCCAACCCGACCCCCUCGGUUGCUCCCCACCCCUUCCCUGCUCCCUCUCCCAGCACCAUCAAGCAAGGUUAGGUUGGCACUGUCACCCCACUUUACAGAUGAGGUGCCCGAGACUCAGAAGCACAAGUCACCAGCCCAAGGACACAAGUUACAAGCUCCAGGGGCAGGGCCCUGCCUGUUCUUGCUCUUGAGAGCUGAACGCUCUUCCUCCAGGGCUGUCCCUAGGGUCAGACCCCUGGAGGACAGUUCAGAUCCACACCCCUGCACCCCCUUUGCAGGUUCAAGGCUGGUGACCACAAGGUCUCUCUGCAUCUCUGGGCAGGAAGGAACUGUCGGGCCAGGAGGCUGGAAGAGGUGGAGAACCAGAACCCUAUGGAUGCAGGCUGACCUCGAGCUGACCACAGGCUGACAGGAGCAGCAGAAGGAGCUCACGAGGCCGACUCCCGAGCUGCGCCCAACAUGCCCAGCCCGAGUGCAGCGGGCAGAUCCUGCCCUUGAGCCUUCAUCAGCUGUUGCCCUCUCUGGAACUCAGAGGCCUGGCAUCAAGGACAUGGUGAGAAGUCCUAAAGGUGGAUCGCUGAUUCACAGGAGAGCAUGGUGGGAGGAAAGGCCUUUCAGUGUUUGCUUUUCAAGUCUUUCAACUGAUUGGAUGAGGCCCACCAGCCAUAUUGAAGGUUAUCUCCUGUAGUUAAAAGUCAACUGAUUAUAGGUGUUAACCUAAGCACAUCCACAAAUACCUUCACAGCUACACUUAGGGAAGUGUUUAAUUGAAUAAUUGGGUAUUACUGCCUAGCCAAAUCAAUGUAUAAGACUACCCAUCACAUCUUCCCUGAGUUGAGAGCCUAAACCUCUGCUCAGGCUUCUGUGGAGACCACUUUUCCAGUAACAUUCCAACGUGCCUAGUAAGUGUCCAGGUCAAAGAAUCAUAGCCAUAAAAAGAGAUGUUGAGGGUUUUUCUUUUUUUCGGGGCAGGGGAGGGUGUGAGGGGGUUAAACAAUUAAAACCCGAACAUGGCCCAGGCUUACUCAAGGAAGGGAGAGUCCCCAGCCCUAAAGUUGUCUCCAAACACAAGGACACUCCUUGCAUGAUGUUUUUGUCCCAGCCAGAGCUAUGUGAAACCUUUGGAGGCCGCCCCAUUUGUAACUAAAUUUAAAUUCAUAAGUGUGAGGAAGUCUACAAGCUCUGGGGUUUUCCCCAUGAUGACUCUCCCGCUAUCUAUUUGUGUAACUUAAAAAUCAAACUCUUCCCCCCAACCACCAUGAUUGGUUCAGGACUCCUGUUUUGCUGUGCUCCUGAGCACCCGGCCCAAACUCAUCCUCCCAGGUGGGCUGGUGUGUGUCCUAAUCUAGAGUCCGUACGACACGGUCACCCUGGGGUCUGUGAGUGGCCAGGCAGAGACGGCUGGAAUACCUCUGCUGGGCUGCAGAAGAAGGCCAUGGUCAUCUUAGGAAUUCUAGCUCGGGCAAGAGUGGGUGUUACCAGAAGCUUUUUUCUGUGAGGGCUGCCAGGAAGGGGGUAGUUCAACAGCCCACCAUUCAACCAGAUGGUUAUCACCCCUUUGAUAGCACUUCCUCUAGGCCAGGCCUGUCCUGGGCACUUCACAAAUGUUGACUCACACCAACCCCACAGCCCUGUGAGGCAGGUACAACUACUACCCACAUUGUACAGAUGAGGAAGCUAAGGCCCUGGAAGGCUCAAUAACCAGCCCAAGAUCACACAGCCAGGAAGUCUUGGAAUCAAGAAAGAAAACUGGCCGUCUGGCUCCAGAGUCCCUGUCACACCACCCACCCAGAACUCCCAAGCAGUUCUUCCAGGAACCUCUCCCCUCCGCAGGCCACCAACACCUACCCACUCUUCCCUUCUCAAGUGGUACCCCUUUCUGAGCCUCCUUUCCCUAACAGCCCUGUCCUUGACCACAGACACCCUAGACUCUCAGAGCCAAAAAUUCAUGUUGCCCACAGAUGAGGAAAGAGAAGCCCUGGGAGAUGUAUGCCACACCCAUGUCUCCCCAAAAUCAUAAAGGUACUGGGGACAGAAAAAGAAGCACGAGCAUUAAAAACAGGAAUAUUUUCCAAGCGUCGGUUCCAGGCACCAUUCCUGGCACUAGAGACCUAGCACUGACAGGAGUCAGUCCCUGCCCUCGUAGUGAUGGCAGUUUGGGAAAGAGGAGGCAUUUAGCAUGAAAACCACGGAACAAGAUAAUUUCAGAUUUCAGUGGCAGGUGUUCUUGACAAAACAGAAAAGUGAAAGGCUUGUGGGGCUGGACCGAUACCUCUCCAGGGAGGUGAGCUUUGGUCCCGGAUCCUCACCGCUCUUUCCAGGGUCCAGUAUGGUCCCUCACUUCACAGGGACAGUCCUGGGGCUCCCAACUGUAUUCUCCCCACAACUAGCAGAAGAGGGCAGGUGGGUACUCUUACUCCUAGAAGCAGGGGGUAUGUGGGGAAGAGAGAGAUUAGGCACCUGGCCUAGAGUCAAACCGGCAGGAACUAAUUCCUGAGCCCGGUGCGAUGUAGGCGGGAACGUUUUCAUUUUUCAUCCGCUAGGGAAGGGGCGGGGCCUUCCGUAGCCCCACCCCUUCCCGAAGCAGCGCGUCGUAACCUGUUGACCCAGGCAGGAGGCGGGGUGCGCGACAGGCCAGAAUAUCCGGAGCAGUGAAACAAGGUCGCUAUUGGCUCCCGCGGGGGGCGGGCGGAGCCUCCGUCUCCUGGUGCGCGCGCCGCGGGGAGGUGUUGCCGAGGUAGGAGCGGGAAGGGGCGUGGCCGCUCGCCGGUGGCCGUUGGUCACAC